GAAAGAAAGAAAGAAAGAAAGAAAGAAAGAAAGAAAGAAAGAAAGAAAGAAGAAAGAAAGAAAGAAAGAAAGAAAGAAAGAAAGAAAGAAAGAAAGAAAGAGAGGAAAGACUCAGAUACAGCUCUCUGGUCCAGACCAGGAAUCUGGCGGGUCCGGGAAUCAGUGGAUUCUGGCUUGAUCCCCAUGAGCCCACUUGGCAGUGGUGUCGUCUGGAGAAGAUUUUCAGGGACCCCACUGCUGCCACUGCUGUCAAGCCGCCUUGGAAACCCUGGAGAGGUUGAGCCCAGCGCCUGUGUGGUGUUCACCAUAGGGGCUCGAGGGACAGAGCAAAGCCACAAUCCAGACCCAGGAAGCUUGCAGAGAAAUACCAUCCGUGCCUACCUCUGAAGACCAGAGUCCUUGGCUCUGCUUCCAGACUCCUUGCUAUGGUCACUGGGGAGGGUUGAAGACCCGCCGCUGCUCAGCUUUCAGCACCUCCUGGGCAGACGACGCUCUGGUGUGGAGGUGCUCCCGAAACCCUGUCUCUGCGCUUCCUGCAGCUGGCUCCUCGCGUCUCAUCCACCCGGAGCCCCUGAAUCUACUACCUUCUUCCCUUUCGGCACCAGGAGAAGGGACAGAGCCUUAGCGCUGGGGGUCUCCAGAGCCUCUAUCUCCCUGCUCUCCAUUCGGCAGCAAAAGGGAGGACAAUUUCUGUCUUCUCCACUCCAAGCUCGUGUCUUGACCCUCCUUCAUUCAGCACUAGAGGGGACAGCAAACCAUUCUCUGCUCUGGGGGUGUCCCCAGUCCCAGUUUCCAACGCCCACCCCAAGUUCUUCUUCCCUUGCUACCCUUCAGCACCAUCCGGGCACGGACAGCUCCUCGGUGUCAGCCCCACCUUGAGCCCCUGUUUCUACCUUCUCCCGCCUCAGCACCUCCGGCGGGGACAGCUCCUCGCUGUCGCCUCCACCCCCAGCCCUGGCCGGACCCCGGCGCAGACACUCCUGGUUCCCAGGGACGGCCCCCGCGCCCUGCUCUCUUUGCUCCGUGCUCUCCCUGCUCCCUUCUUCUGGCGCAUGGAGACCCCAGGGGUCCAAGAAGGGGCGGAGGCAUCCAGCGAGCUGAGUCGCGCUCGCAGCCGCCAAGGCACAGCCAGACCCCCGAAGCACUUGUGGCGUCAGCCCCGGCGCCCCAUCCGCAUCCAGCAGCGCUUCUACUCGGACCCGGAUAAGUCCGCGGGCUGCAGUGAGCGGGACCGGAGCCCGCGGCCGGGGCUCGAGAAGUCUCGGCGCUCCUGGCCCACCU